AGCGGAAUUACUGGGUCAUAUGGUAAAUCUAUGCUUAAUCUUUUGAGAAACUGCCAAAACAUUUUCCAAAGAGGCUGAACCAUCUUACAUUCCCACCAACAAC
rnacentral:pre_miRNA from 1 species